rnacentral:rRNA from 1 species
AUAACCUGCCCUUUGGAGGGGGAUAACGUUCCGAAAGGAGCGCUAAUACCGCAUACAGCAAGAGCCGGUUCGCCGGUUUUUGGCAAAGGUAGGGAUCCGCAAGGACCUACCGCCAGAGGAGGGGUCUGCGGCCCAUCAGCUAGUUGGUGAGGUAAUGGCUCACCAAGGCAGAGACGGGUAGCUGGUCUGAGAGGAUGAUCAGCCACACUGGUACUGGAACACGGACCAG